rnacentral:tRNA from 2 species
GGUGACAUACCCAAGUGGUAAGGGAACGGUCUGCAAAACCGUGAUUCCCCGGUUCGAAUCCGGGUGUCACCU